rnacentral:sRNA from 1 species
ACAUUACAUUUGCUGAAUCCCGGAUUUUUCCGGGUACGGAGGAACCAAUUUAGGGGUUAAUCCAUGAACUGCAUGGUAGGGAUCCUUCUAUCCCGAACCCGACAGCUAACUUCGGAGGCAAUCAAGGAAGGAGUG